UACGUAGGUGGCAAGCGUUGUCCGGAUUUACUGGGCGGUAAAGGAUGCGUAGGCGGACAUUUAAGUCAAGAUGUGAAAUACCCGAGCUUAACUUGGGUGCUGCAUUUGAAACUGGGUGUCUAGAGUGCAGGAGAGGUAAGUGGAAUUCCUAGUGUAGCGGUGAAAUGCGUAGAGAUUAGGAAGAACACCAGUGGCGAAGGCGACUUACUGGACUGUAACUGACGCUGAGGCAUGAAAGCGUGGGGAGCAAACAGG
rnacentral:rRNA from 1 species